rnacentral:rRNA from 1 species
GAUGAACGCUGGCGGCGUGCUUAACACAUGCAAGUCGAACGAUGAAGCCCAGCUUGCUGGGUGGAUUAGUGGCGAACGGGUGAGUAACACGUGAGUAACCUGCCCUUAACUCUGUGAUAAGCCUGGGAAACUGGGUCUAAUACCGGAUAGGAGCGCCUACCGCAUGGUGGGUGUUGGAAAGAUUUAUCGGUUUUGGAUGGACUCGCGGCCUAUCAGCUUGUUGGUGAGGUAAUGGCUCACCAAGGCGACGACGGGUAGCCGGCCUGAGAGGGUGACCGGCCACACUGGGACUGAGACACGGCCCAGACUCCUACGGGAGGCAGCAGUGGGGAAUAUUGCACAAUGGGCGAAAGCCUGAUGCAGCGACGCCGCGUGAGGGAUGACGGCCUUCGGGUUGUAAACCUCUUUCAGUAGGGAAGAAGCGAAAGUGACGGUACCUGCAGAAGAAGCACCGGCUAACUACGUG